rnacentral:rRNA from 1 species
UAGGCAGGGUCCGCGUGUUAAUCGGAAUUACUGGGCGUAAAGUGUGCGCAGGUGGCCGCGCAAGUCGAGUGUGAAAUCCCCGGGCUUAACUUGGGAAUUGCGCUCGAAACUACGUGGCUAGAGUGUGGCAGAGGGAGGAGGAAUUCCACGUGUAGCGGUGAAAUGCGUAGAGAUGUGGAGGAACACCAAUGGCGAAGGCAGCCUCCUGGGCCAACACUGACACUCAUGCACGAAAGCGUGGGGAGCAAACAGG